rnacentral:lncRNA from 1 species
GAUAAUUAUUUACUAAUAUCAUGUAAUAACAAAAACCAAUCAAGAUAAUUCAAUGGCUUCAAUACUAUCACUAAGGUUUCAAAUAGGGCUACAAAAACAUUUAAACUAUAAUUGGGUGCAGGACGCACGAACGUAGGCCCAAUUAGCAACAAAUUAUGGUGUAGGUUCCACCGAUGUGGGACUAUUAAAUACUAUUAAAUACUAGUGGAGGAGUAGUGGUUAACAGACUCAACAGGCAGUUCUUUCUUUGUCACUUGGUGAGAAAAGAAACAUAGAAGACAGUACUCCCCCAAGAGGCAUACAUAACUGCUAUUUAAUUACUAUGAACUGAUUACAUAUUUCUGCUUAUCUUUGAUGUUAAUAUGCUUGAAAUGUUCCAAUUUGUUGAGUACAAGUGAAUCUUUGCUUGUGGAUUGAAGGCAGAGGAAAUAAAUCACAAUUUUACAUCUCUCCAUAUAAGGAAAAUAUUGGUGGAACAUGAUUUCACAUUAAUUAUAAGCAACCUGAAACAAAUGAACACCGCACAAAGACCAGACAACAAAAUACACCGUACAAAGACGGGAAAUCAAAACAAACAAAUAUGUGAAAAAAUAAGCAAACUGAUUUAAUCACAUAAAAAGAAACAUAGUUAUGCAUAAAACACAAAUUCUGAUGAGUUAUCCGUAUUCGACCGAUUAAAAUUUUUGAGUCACAAAGAGGCCAACCGGAAACUAUAAUCUCAAACACACUGAGAUGUAAAACUGGCAUGAAGCACUAUACUUUUGGCGGAGUAUUAGCAAACCUCCAUGAAACUUGAACUAAAGCAUCGGUUGUCCGACUCCCCAUCACCUCAGAUAUUGGCACGGUCUCUUCAAUCUCCUUCAA